GGCUCAACCCGGGACUUGCCGUUGAAACUGAUAAUCUUGAGUGUAACUGAUGUGGGCGGAAUGUGUCAAGUAGCGGUGAAAUGCAUAGAUAUGACACAGAACACCGAUAGCGAAGGCAGCUCACAAAAUUACAACUGACACUGAGGCACGAAAGCGUGGGUAUCAAACAGGAUUAGAUACCCUGGUAGUCCACGCUGUAAACGAUGAUCACUAGCUGUUUGCGAUACAUUGUAAGUGGUUAAGCGAAAGCGAUAAGUGAUCCACCUGGGGAGUACGUCGGCAACGAUGAAACUCAAAGGAAUUGACGGGGGCCCGCACAAGCGGAGGAGCAUGUGGUUUAAUUCGAUGAUACGCGAGGAACCUUACCUGGGCUUGAACGUAUGGUGCAUGAGUGUGAAAGCACUCUUUCCUUCACAGGACUUCAUACGAGGUGCUGCAUGGUUGUCGUCAGCUCGUGCCGUGAGGUGUUAGGUUAAGUCCUGCAACGAGCGCAACCCCUGUUUUUAGUUGCCAGCAGGUUAUGCUGGGCACUCUAGAAAGACUGCCUGCGCAAGCGGAGAGGAAGGUGGGGAUGACGUCAAAUCAGCACGGCCCUUACGUCCAGGGCUACACACGUGCUACAAUGGUCGGCACAGAGGGUGGCUACCCGGCAACGGGAUGCUAAUCUCCAAAGUCGAUCUUAGUUCGGAUCGAAGUCUGCAACUCGACUUCGUGAAGUUGGAUUCGCUAGUAAUCGUAUAUCAGCCAUGAUACGGUGAUACGUUCCCGGGCCUUGUACACACCGCCCGUCAAGCCAUGGAAGUUGGGGGUACCUGAAGUCGAUUACCGUAAGGG
rnacentral:rRNA from 1 species